CUAUUUUCUUACCCAUAAAAAUUGCCAUUCCAUAUUUUUGUUGCUUUUUUCGGGGUUUUUUAGUACAGAAUUGUUCAACAAGUCGUCCAAAAAAUCAUCAGACACUUCGGCAAAAGUGCAAAACACGAAUUUUCCGCCAUUUUGAAUUUUCUAUUAGUAGGCUAUCACUAAUAGCCUACUAGUAGCGUAGCCAAUCAGAAGGCACGAUAUGUGAUAGCCUACUAGUAGGUUUAUACUAAUAUAGUA